UUUCAGCGUGUAAUUUAAAAAUGUAAUUUUACCAUUAUUCAAGUGGAACUGUGUCACUAAAAAAGUGGUAAAAAUUCCACUGCGUGUAAAAUUUGGUACGUGUAAUCGAAAACGUGUAAAUUCGCCAUUACAGUUUGACAGCUGCAGAAGCAUCCACCUCGAGGAAAAGUUUACGGGGAUGGACAACAAGACGGGAUAAAAGUCAAGAGGCUGAGUGAAUGACUGGAAGACGAAAUUCAGCAAUUUGUAAGGACGUGAAGGAGGAAUAGCUGGUAGAGCAGUGAUCAGAGAAGGAAGAUAGCAGAGCGCUUAAGGUUUCAGCUUUUCUCUUAUUUUCUUCUAAAUUCACUAAUCAUCAUCAAUAUCAUCAACAAAAUAAAAUCAUCCCCAGUACUCGGCUUGGGACAUCACCUUUUGGAAAUGGAAAAAAUGAAGGAGCGAGAAAAUAAAAAAUUCUAUUUUGUGAGCAUUUGACAGGGAAAUAAAAUUACACGUUUGAAAUUACAAGUUUUUGUAUUUUACACGCAUCACUUUACACAGAAUUCCAUAUCACAUUCUGCAUAUUACACGCAAAAAAGUACACGCAAGAGAUUACACGCGGGAAAUUACACGUUUCAAAAAUUACACGUUUGUCAAAAUUACCAUUAAAAUAGUGAUGCAAAAAAUUACCCACUAUUUUAGUUGUAAUAUUUUUUUACUGUG